rnacentral:tRNA from 1 species
UCCCUGGUGACUUAGAUGGUAAAGAAUCUGCUUGCAAUGCAGGAAACUCAGGUUCGAUCCCUGGAUCGGGAA